rnacentral:rRNA from 1 species
AUUGAACGCUGGCGGCAGGCCUAACACAUGCAAGUCGAGCGAGCGGCGGACGGGUGAGUAAUGUAUCGGGCUCGUACCGAGCGAGGGGGAUAACUACUGGAAACGGUGGCUAAUACCGCACACUAUCGCAUAAACCCAUGUGGGAUUAGCUAGUGGGUGGGGUAAAGGCUAACCUAGGCGACGAUCUCUAGCUGGUAUGAGAGGAAGAUCAGCCACACUGGGACUGAGACACGGACCAGACUCCUACGGGAGGCAGCAGUGGGGAAUAGUGCACAAUGGGCGAAAGCCUGAUGCAGCCAUGCCGCGUGUAUGAAGAAGGCCUUAGGGUUGUAAAGUACUUUAAGCGGGGAGGCGUUACCCGCAGAAGAAGCACCGGCUAACUCCGUGCCAGCAGCCGCGGUAAUAC